AUUGAACGCUGGCGGCAGGCCUAACACAUGCAAGUCGAGCGAGAGGCGGACGGGGGAGUAAUAUCUGGGAAACUGCCUGAUGGAGGGGGAUAAAGACAGGAACCGGUAGAUAAUCCAGCAUCUCAUCAGAAGUGCACAGAUGGGAGUAGCUGGUAGGUGGGGUAACGGCUCACCUGGGCGACGAUCCCUAGAUGGUCUGAGAGGAUGACCAGCCACACGGGAACUGAGACACGGUCCAGACUCCUACGGGAGGCAGCAGUGGGGAAUAUUGCACAAUGGGCGCAAGCCUGAUGCAGCCAUGCCGCGUGUGUGAAGAAGGCCUUCGGGUUGUAAAGCACUUUCAGCGGGGAGGCGUUACCCGCAGAAGAAGCACCGGCUAACUCCGUGCCAGCAGCCGCGGUAAUUC
rnacentral:rRNA from 1 species